rnacentral:lncRNA from 1 species
UGGAUCGACAUAACUAAAGUAGUUUCACAUGAAAACAUAGCGAAAGUACAUCCUGAUGAAAAGUUAAAAAAAAAGGACAAUAUGAACUUCUGUCCAUACCAAACUAUCAUCGGAUAGUUUAACGCCCAUUAGUCUCAUUCUUCAUGCGGAGCAAUCUACACAAUGCACAUUAAAUUAUUGACAAAGCAAAUAAUAACUUCAAAAAGUUCUGAAAUUUGAAGAGAAGUAUACCACUAAAUUGUUUUGAGGCACUAGCAUACGAUGUUUUUUCAUCUCUUAAAACCGAUUGUAUGAUUUUAUCAUUACUAAUGCUUCUAAAUAUCUCCUUCUCAACAUAGCAUAUCAUCAAAUCAUUGAGCUAUUCAUCCCCCAUUUUGCUGCGCAAAUCUGUCUUUAUAAGAGACAGCUGAAAAAACCCUCUCAACUGAAGCAGUUGCCACCGGAAGUAUCAAUGUGAGCUCAACAAGCCGAUAAACCAAUGGGUAAGAACUAUUCAUCGUGGUCUUGACCAUCCAUAAUUUCAGCAACCUUUGAAAGU